AAGGGCACCACAAGAACGCGUGGAGCAUGUGGCUUAAUUUGACUCAACGCGGGAAAUCUUACCGGGUCCGGACACACUGAGGAUUGACAGGCGCAUGCAGAAUUCUCUUCUUUUUGGGGAGAUAUUUUGCUACAAAUUAUGCUAGUCCUUUCAUGAUUGUGUGAUAGGUGGUGCAUGGCCGUUCUUAGUUCGUGGAGUGAUCUGUCUGCUUAAUUGCGUUUCACAAAUGGAGUCAUUUAAUUUUGUCUUGUUGCGCGCAGAGUUUUUUGCAAUUUAUUGCAUGCUCUGUUGUGCACGGCAAUGUUUGCGCUCCAGAAGGCAACGAACGUGACCGCAACCUCUUGUUGCCUCUUUUACAAACUUUCAUUGUAUUAGGAGAUUUCUUCUUUUACUUUGAAUUACAGAGGCUAACUAGAGGGACCGCUGCGCUUUUUCAAACAGAGGAAGGUUGCGGCAAUAACAGGUCUGUGAUGCCCUUAGAUGUUCCGGGCUGCACACGUGCUACAAUGAUUAUUGCAGUGAGCAUCUUUAUAUUUUUUUAAAUAGUUUAUUGGUGGCAUUUGUGGCUUCGGCUGCAUUUUGUCCCAAAAACAGACCUGCUUCGAAAGUAAGUAGGUAAUCAAUUCGAAGUAAUGAUUUCCAUACGCACAUACUUAUGUUCCCAUGUUUGCUGAUAAGAUAGCCUUCAUCUGUCCGCAGAUGGGCUCUUAUCAUCCUUGGGACAUGUGCUCCAUUAAUUCAUGGUGGGGACAGACCAUUGUUAAUUGUUGGUCUCGGUCUCAACUAGGAAUGCCUUGUACGGCUCUUGGUUCAACAAACCAGCCGGAAUAUGUCCCUGCCCUUUGUACACACCGCCCGUCGCUCUUACCGAUGGACUUCGCUGUGAGUUUGAGGGACUGGCUCUCCUUUGAGCUAUGGAAACUUAAACGAACAGUGUGGUCUAAAGGAAAGAGAAGUCG
rnacentral:rRNA from 1 species